GCUGGGCGUGGUGCAGUACGCCUGUGGUCCCAGCUACUUGGGAGGCUGAGAUGGGAGGAUCGCUUGAGCCCAGGAGAUCAAGGCUGCAAUGAGCUAUAAUCAUGCCACUGCACUCCAGCCUGGGAGACAUAGUGAGACCCUGUCUCAA
rfam:Homo sapiens chromosome 8, GRCh38 reference primary assembly.